UACGGAGGGUGCGAGCGUUGUCCGGAAUCAUUGGGCGUAAAGGGCGCGUAGGUGGCGGCUUAAGCGUGCGGUGAAAGCUCGGGGCUCAACCCCGAGUCGGCCGUGCGAACUGAGUCGCUUGAGCACUGUAGAGGCAGGCGGAAUUCCGGGUGUAGCGGUGGAAAGCGUAGAGAUCCGGAAGAACACCGGUGGCGAAGGCGGUUCUCUGGGCAUGUUCUGACGCUGAGGAGCGAAAGUGUGGGGAGCGAACAGG
rnacentral:rRNA from 1 species